rnacentral:tRNA from 1 species
GCCCCGGUAGCUCAGUCCGGCAGAGCGGCGGUGGACCGCCGGUCCGCCGAAGCUGCAGACCGCGUGGAGACCCGUAGGUCCCGGGUUCAAAUCCCGGCCGGGGCUCCA